AGUGAACGCUGGCGGUAGGCCUAACACAUGCAAGUCGAACGGCAGCACAGUAAGAGCUUGCUCUUACGGGUGGCGAGUGGCGGACGGGUGAGGAAUACAUCGGAAUCUACUUUUUCGUGGGGGAUAACGUAGGGAAACUUACGCUAAUACCGCAUACGACCUACGGGUGAAAGCAGGGGAUCUUCGGACCUUGCGCGAUUGAAUGAGCCGAUGUGGGAUUAGCUAGUUGGCGGGGUAAAGGCCCACCAAGGCGACGAUCCGUAGCUGGUCUGAGAGGAUGACCAGCCACACUGGAACUGAGACACGGUCCAGACUCCUACGGGAGGCAGCAGUGGGGAAUAUUGGACAAUGGGCGCAAGCCUGAUCCAGCCAUGCCGCGUGGGUGAAGAAGGCCUUCGGGUUGUAAAGCCCUUUUGUUGGGAAAGAAAAGCAGCAGGUUAAUACCCCGCUGUUCUGACGGUACCCAAAGAAUAAGCACCGGCUAACUUCGUG
rnacentral:rRNA from 1 species